UGAACGUGACUCGCUAAGGAAUACCUAAUAGAGUUUUACUUGCCUGUCAAUAGGAAUUCCUGUAGUGAUAGUAGUACAAAUAAUCCUUAGACUUGAGAUCAUCAUAGUAUCUUAUAUAUAAUGAAUUACACUUUGACUUAUUCCUUAAGACUCUUAGAGUAUAUCAAAGGGUAUGCUUGGGUGUAAUAAGUUAUAUAUGGAGAUAAUGAAUGUUCAAUAAAGA
rnacentral:lncRNA from 1 species